rnacentral:rRNA from 1 species
GACGAACGCUGGCGGCGUGCUUAACACAUGCAAGUCGAACGGAGUGCCCAUGAUUGAGGUUUCGGCCAAAUGAUUGGGUUACUUAGUGGCGGACUGGUGAGUAACGCGUGAGGAACCUGCCUUUCAGAGGGGGACAACAGUUGGAAACGACUGCUAAUACCGCAUGACACAUCGAAGGGGCAUCCCUUUGAUGUCAAAGAUUUAUCGCUGAAAGAUGGCCUCGCGUCCGAUUAGAUAGUAGGCGGGGUAACGGCCCACCUAGUCGACGAUCGGUAGCCGGACUGAGAGGUUGACCGGCCACAUUGGGACUGAGAUACGGCCCAGACUCCUACGGGAGGCAGCAGUGGGGAAUAUUGGGCAAUGGACGCAAGUCUGACCCAGCAACGCCGCGUGAAGGAAGAAAGGCUUUCGGGUUGUAAACUUCUUUUAAGAGGGAAGAGCAGAAGACGGUACCUCUUGAAUAAGCCACGGCUAACUACGUG